CCUACGGGGGGCUGCAGUGGGGAAUAUUGGACAAUGGGCGAAAGCCUGAUCUAGCCAUGCCGCGUGUGUGAAGAAGGCCUUCGGGUUGUAAAGCACUUUCAGUGGGGAAGAAAGCCUUGGGGCUAAUACCCUCGAGGAAGGACAUCACCCACAGAAGAAGCACCGGCUAACUCCGUGCCAGCAGCCGCGGUAAUACGGAGGGUGCGAGCGUUAAUCGGAAUUACUGGGCGUAAAGCGCGCGUAGGCGGUCUGAUAAGCCGGUUGUGAAAGCCCCGGGCUCAACCUGGGAACGGCAUCCGGAACUGUCAGGCUAGAGUGCAGGAGAGGAAGGUAGAAUUCCCGGUGUAGCGGUGAAAUGCGUAGAGAUCGGGAGGAAUACCAGUGGCGAAGGCGGCCUUCUGGACUGACACUGACGCUGAGGUGCGAAAGCGUGGGUAGCAAACAGGAUUAGAUACCCCAGUAGUC
rnacentral:rRNA from 1 species